UACGUAGGGGGCAAGCGUUGUCCGGAUUUAUUGGGCGUAAAGAGCGUGUAGGCGGCCGUACAGGUCAGCUGUGAAAACUCGAGGCUCAACCUCGAGACGUCGGUUGAAACCGUACGGCUAGAGUCCGGAAGAGGAGAGUGGAAUUCCCGGUGUAGCGGUGAAAUGCGCAGAUAUCGGGAAGAACACCAGUGGCGAAGGCGGCUCACUGGCCCGGUACUGACGCUGAGGUGCGAAAGCGUGGGGAGC
rnacentral:rRNA from 1 species